rnacentral:rRNA from 1 species
CAGGUGUUUGUGGUGGGCCAUGACUGGGGGGCGCUGAUCGCGUGGUACGUGUGCCUGUUCCGGCCGGACCGCGUCACGGCGCUCGUCAACACCAGCCUCGCCUUCAUCCGCAACAUAAUCGCACGCAAUGGACCUGGUUUCGUGAAGCCCACCGACUACUUCAACCGCGCCUACGGCCCCGACUACUACAUGUGCCGCUUCCAGGAGCCCGGGGUCGCGGAGGCGCGGCAGUUCGCGCCGGAGCACGCUAGGCGCCUCCUGCGGCAGAUCAUGUGCCACUGCUUCAGCCACGGCGUGGCCUGUGACGAGGAAAUGCACGACGACAAGUACCCGACAUCUACGCUCCCUCCUUGGCUCACCGAGGAAGACGUGGACUACUUUGGCGCCGAGUUCAAGGGGACUGGGUUCACUGGCGGCAUCAACUACUACCGCAACCUGGACAGGAACUGCGAGCUGGCUGCGGCGUGGGCGGACGCCAAGGUGCAGGUGCCGACCAAGUAUGUGGUGGGUGAAGGUGAAAUCACGUACCACUUCGAGGGGGUCCAGGAGUACAUCCACGGGGGUGGGUUCAAGGAGGACGUGCCACUGCUAGAGGAGGUGGUCGUCCUCCCGGGCGCCGGCCACUUUAUCCAGCUGGAGAGGGCACAGGAGGUCAGUGAUCAUAUCUACGACUUCAUCAUCAAGUUCUCAUCUCCAACCUAA